rnacentral:rRNA from 1 species
GACGAACGCUGGCGGCGUGCCUAAUACAUGCAAGUCGAACGAACCGCGACUAGGUGCUUGCACUUGGUCAAGGUGAGUGGCGAACGGGUGAGUAACACGUGGGUAACCUACCUCAUAGUGGGGGAUAACAGUCGGAAACGACUGCUAAUACCGCAUAGGACAUAGGAUCACAUGAUUCUUUUAGGAAAGGUGGCGCAAGCUAUCGCUAAGAGAUGGACCCGCGGUGCAUUAGCUAGUUGGUAGGGUAAAGGCCUACCAAGGCGAUGAUGCAUAGCCGACCUGAGAGGGUGAUCGGCCACAUUGGGACUGAGACGCGGCCCAAACUCCUACGGGAGGCGGCAGUAGGGAAUCUUCCGCAAUGGACGCAAGUCUGACGGAGCAACGCCGCGUGAGUGAAGAAGGUCUUCGGAUCGUAAAGCUCUGUUGUUAGAGAAGAACAGCGCAUAGAGUAACUGUUAUGCGUGUGACGGUAUCUAACCAGAAAGCCACGGCUAACUACGUG